GUGUCAGCAGCCGCGGUAAUACGGGGGGAGCAAGCGUUGUUCGGAUUUACUGGGCGUAAAGGGCGCGUAGGCGGCCACCGCAAGUCGAUUGUGAAAUCUCCGGGCUUAACCCGGAAAGGUCAACCGAUACUGCGGGGCUAGAGUGCAGAAGGGGCAACUGGAAUUCUCGGUGUAGCGGUGAAAUGCGUAGAUAUCGAGAGGAACACCUGCGGCGAAGGCGGGUUGCUGGGCUGACACUGACGCUGAGUGCGCGAAAGCUAGGGGAGCGAACGGGAUUAGAUACCCCGGUAGUCCUAGCCUUAAACGAUGAAUGCUUGGUGUCUGGGGUUAUAUAGUCCCCGGGUGCCGUCGCUAACGCUUUAAGCAUUCCGCCUGGGGAGUACGGUCGCAAGACUGAA
rnacentral:rRNA from 1 species